GCGGCGGACGGGUGAGUAACACGUGGGCAACCUGCCCUGUAGAUUGGGAUAACUCCGGGAAACCGGGGCUAAUACCGAAUAAUCCAUUUCCUCACAUGGGGAGAUGUUAAAAGACGGUUUCGGCUGUCACUACAGGAUGGGCCCGCGGCGCAUUAGCUAGUUGGUGAGGUAACGGCUCACCAAGGCGACGAUGCGUAGCCGACCUGAGAGGGUGAUCGGCCACACUGGGACUGAGACACGGCCCAGACUCC
rnacentral:rRNA from 1 species